UCUGGCUUUAAAAUACCACUGAAUAACUUAGGUAGCUAUGUCAUCAUAGACAUCAUCAUCAUAUUUCUCAUUCCUUUUGACAAAGAGAAGCACAUGAAAUAGAGUGGCAGAAAACAAUGGUUCUCAGAUUAUAUGCUAGAACUCACAAUAAAGCAUCACAGGAAAUCUAUGAGAGCCCAGGGAAUGCUCAACAUUUAUUUUACAGGCUUCUAAACCAUGAGAGUCCACUGGUUUUAUCCGUACUGCAGUGCAUUUGAAAGCAUCUGGGCUCAGAGUUGUUUUCCUUAAUCCUAGGAAAAGCUGGGACUAUCUGAUCCAACUCUUUCUGAACAAAAGCACAGUGAGCAAUGAUCUCUUCUAAAGCUGUACGAGUUGAAGAAGGAAGAAAGAAACAUGAAAAGUGGCUCAUCAGUCAGAAACAGGUUUAUUUUAAAGAAUGAACCUGAGAGGGGCCUCUGGCCGAGUUAGGUCAAGAGCCCUCUCUCUUACAGACUAAGAGUAUUUUAGGGUUCAGGAUGGGCGAGCUUAUCACAGGCUCAGAAUGUUUCUGUGUCUCUUUGUCUUGCUUAUCUGAGAGGGAGAGUUUUGUGUCUGUUCCCAUACAUCUUUCUGCAGCUGCAGGCAUACCCCCCAAGUCUGCUUUUAGCUUCCCUAUGUUAGUGAACUUAAAGAGAAAGGAAUGUGCUUAUUAGGGCCCACUGUUGUACUUGGGCCCAUUGUAUGAGUGUGAAGUUUGGUCUUUACACCAUACAGCUAUCUUAUCUGUAUUUUACUGUCUGCUCUUUCUAGCUGCUUGUUGUUAGAAGUGAUUUCUUUGAAAUGCAUAAGGUUAGAAAGGGAGCUGGAACUUAAAAUGGUGGUGUUUGUCCAAGAUGAUGGUGCUCCUGCUCUGUCAAAAGUCUUCAUCGAAUUGCUUAUUUUGGUAGGCAGUCCUAAUAGUAUAAUGUUUUCGCUAGAUAGCAUCUUUGCAGGGAUGUACCUUUGUCUGUUAAAUGUGAUAAAUUGGGUUGCGAACUGUAGCCCAUAAUCAUAUUAUAGGGAGUAUAUAAUUGCAAUUAGCUAUGUCACUGGGCAACAUAAGGAAGUAAAAAUAUCAGAUGGUUUGCAAAAGUAAAUGAUGUGGUUAAAUUAUUUGUUCUUUAAACAAAAAAAAUUAUUAAUCUAGUGAGGAUGUGGGCCUGAAUUAUCACUUGGCGCCUUAAAUUCACCAGUGAUCACUCUGAAUCUAACACGUUGUCUCGUUUCUUUUUUUUUUUUUUAAGUUUUGUAGGUACACAGUAGAUGUGUAUAUCUAUGGGGUACAUGAGAUGUUUUGAUACAGGUAUCCAAUGCGUAAUAAUCACAUCAUGGAGAAUGGGGUAUCCAUCCCCUAAGCAUUGAUCUUUUAUGUUACAAACAAUCCAAUCACGCUCUUUUAGUUAUUUUUGAAUGUACAGUGAAAUUAUUAUUGACUAUAGUCAUCCCAUUUUGCUAUCAAAUAGUAGGUCUUAUUCAUUCUUUCUGGUUUUUUUUUGUACCCUGUCUCUUCUUUCUGAUAGCUCACUUCCUCUCACUGGUUUCCAGAGUGGAUUCUAUUUCCUCAAGUUUAAGAAGCAGAGUUUUCCUUCCAACAAAUGAUCAACAUGACUGCCAGAUUACAUUUUAUUACUUCUCCUGCCAAGUGAGUGGCAAAUUAAUGGUUGGGCUUCAAACUGCAUGUGGAGGUCCUAUUCAGCAUUUAUGGCAAAACACAGCUGCACUCCCAAAUCAGUGGGAGAGAAAUGUCAUCAAAAUCCAGAGUUCACAGAGAUUUCAGGUAUGUGUGUUCUAUUUUCUAACUAUGGCCUUGAAGAAAAAUAAGAUACAGAUCUUUAACACCAGGUGAACUAAAAGUAAGGCAACUGUCCCAGUUUGCCAGGGACUGAGGGAUUUCCCAGGACUUUCAAAUGCUGAAAGUGGACAUCUCAGGCAAUUUGGGAUGGCUAGUCACCCUAAAAGACACUUUUACAAUAAGGUUUUGAAUUUUAUGUAUUAAAACUAAAGUUGGUGUAUUUUAAGGCAUACUAAUAUAUCAGUAAAAUAUAACCUUUUAAUUUUCUCCUAAUUUCUUGAACCCCCUCCAUUUUCCUCUCUACUUUUCUUACUGCUCCAACUUCCUCUUUCUUUCUUUUUUUUUUUUUUUUAUUUUAUAAAGUUUUUUUUUAUUUAUUUAUUUAUUUAUUUUUUUUUAUUAUACUCUAAGUUUUAGGGUACAUGUGCA
rnacentral:lncRNA from 1 species